rnacentral:rRNA from 1 species
GACGAACGCUGGCGGCGUGCCUAAUACAUGCAAGUCGAGCGGACGGAUGGGAGCUUGCUCCCAGUCCGUCAGCGGCGGACGGGUUAGUACCACGUGGGCAACCUGCCUGUAAGACUGGGAUAACUCCGGGAAACCGGGGCUAAUACCGGAUAACUCUUUCCCUCACAUGAGGGAAAGCUGACAGAUGGCAUCUCGCUAUCACUUACCGAUGUGCCCGCGGCGCAUUAGCUAGUUGGUGAGGUAACGGCUCACCAAGGCGACGAUGCGUAGCCGACCUGAGAGGAUGAUCGGCCACACUGGAACUGAGACACGGCCCAGACUCCUACGGGAGGCAGCAGUAGGGAAUCUUCCGCAAUGGGCGAAAGUCUGACGGAGCAACGCCGCGUGAGUGAUGAAGGUCUUCGGAUCGUAAAGCUCUGUUGUCAGGGAAGAACAAGUACCGGAGUAUCUGCCGGUACCUUGACGGUACCUGACCAGAAAGCCACGGCUAACUACGUG